rnacentral:rRNA from 1 species
CAAUAGCGUAUAUUAAAGUUGUUGCAGUUAAAAAGCUCGUAGUUGGAUUUCUGGUGGGAGCGAUCGGUCUGGCGCUUAGCGCGAGUACUUGCAUCGUCUCCGGCCAUCCUUGGGGAGAGUCUGUCUGGCAUUAAGUUGUCGGGCAGAGGAUCCUCAUCGUUUACUGUGAAAAAAUUAGAGUGUUCAAAGCAGGCUUAUGCCGUUGAAUAUAUUAGCAUGGAAUAAUAAGAUAGGACUUUGGUACUAUUUUGUAGGUUUGCGCACCAAAGUAAUGAUUAAUAGGGACAGUUGGGGGUAUUCGUAUUCCGUUGUCAGAGGUGAAAUUCUUGGAUUUACGGAAGACGAACUACUGCGAAAGCAUUUACCAAGGAUGUUUUCAUUAA